UACGUAGGGGGCAAGCGUUGUCCGGAAUUAUUGGGCGUAAAGAGCUCGUAGGCGGUCUGUCGCGUCUGUUGUGAAAACUCGAGGCUCAACCUCGGGCUUGCAGUGGAUACGGGCAGACUAGAGUGCGGUAGGGGAGACUGGAAUUCCUGGUGUAGCGGUGGAAUGCGCAGAUAUCAGGAGGAACACCGAUGGCGAAGGCAGGUCUCUGGGCCGCAACUGACGCUGGAGGAGCGAAAGCAUGGGGAGCGAACAGG
rnacentral:rRNA from 1 species